CGUUGGAUCAGUUAUGUUCUUAGCACAAAACUAUUUCUUAUUUUAAAAAUACACAUACUCCGAAACAAAAAACAUAGACCUUAGACAACGGAUGUCUUGGCUCCUCGUACGACGAAGAACGCGGCAUAAUGUGAUAAGUGACUGGAGUUGCGCACAUCGUGACAAGUUCAAUCUUUGAAUGCACAAUGCUCGCUCUAGCAAUAGAGGGAAUAUUAUGCCCAGUGGGUCAUUGCUUGAAAAUCUUCUUUGCAAGGAGCGAAUAGCGACAAGAAAAGAAGACCCCUGGGGAUAGUAGGAUUACCCGCUGAACUGAAGCAUCUCAUUAAGCGGAGGAAAAGAAACUAACUAGGAUUCCUUCAGUAAAGGCGAUCGAAGAAGGAGGAGCUCGAUGUUCCAACCUUUGCGAAAAGGGAUGUGGACGGCGGGUCAUUGGGGGUGCGAAAGUCACAUUGAAAGGUGCGCGACACAGAGUUUAAGUCUCGUUGGCACCCCCAAGCACGGCGCGCCGGAGAGAGUCGGACAGCUUGAGAUUGCUGCCUGAAUGCGGUGGUAUGACCCAUCGAAGGCUAAAUAGGACGAGGAGACCGAUAGCGCACAAGUAGUGUGAACGAACGAUGAAAAGCACUCCAUGACGGAGCGUGAAAAGUCCCUGAACUUGUCUAGGGUAAGGCAUUUCGAAUGCGCCCGUCUUGAAACACGGAUUAGGGAGUUUAACGGGUGUGCGAGUCUUUUCCAAGAAAGGGAGGGGCGGAUAGAAACAGACUGCUUUUUCGGAAGUGGAUGCUGAGCACACGUGUUAGGACCCGAAUGGUGGUGAACUAUGCCUGCACAGGAUGAAGCCAGGGGAAACUCUGGUGGAGGUCCGUCGCGUUAUUGAUGUGCAAAUCAUUCGUCAGAUGUAGGUAUAGGUGCGAAAGACUCAUCGAACCACCUAAUAGCUGGUUUCCCC
rnacentral:misc_RNA from 1 species